AUUGAACGCUGGCGGCAGGCCUAACACAUGCAAGUCGAACGAGUGGCGGACGGGUGAGUAAUGUCUGGGAAUCUGCCUGAUGGAGGGGGAUAACUACUGGAAACGGUAGCUAAUACCGCAUACCAUCAGAUGUGCCCAGAUGGGAUUAGCUUGUUGGUGGGGUAAAGGCUCACCAAGGCGACGAUCCCUAGCUGGUCUGAGAGGAUGACCAGCCACACUGGGACUGAGACACGGUCCAGACUCCUACGGGAGGCAGCAGUGGGGAAUAUUGCGCAAUGGGGGCAAGCCUGAUGCAGCCAUGCCGCGUGAAUGAAGAAGGCCUUCGGGUUGUAAAGUACUUUCGGUGGGGAGGCGUUACCCGCAGAAGAAGCGCCGGCUAACUCCGUGCCAGCCGCCGCGGUAAUAC
rnacentral:rRNA from 1 species